GGGAGAGCCAUCGGCCAUGGCUGUGGGGCCUCCGCAGCACCGGGGCCUCUGAGGGGCUUCUCCACCGCCCGCGGCCGGUGAGGGCUGGGAGGGUAAGGACAGGACUCCUGCGUGUUUUGGGUGAGAUCACCGGCCCCACACACUGCCCAGCAGCAAACCCAGCGACAGCACUGUGCUCCUCUCAGGUAAAAAAAAAAAAAAUACAGGGUGAAAACCGACUGGAAAUCAUAAAAACAUCGAGCCCGCGGCAAGAGCUGCGUCACGGCCCACCCCAAACCCAGCGCCUUCACCGGCCACCUUGCGAAGGCAGCGCCCUUCAUUGACAAUCCAGCAAUUUGAAACUACGGGGUAAAAAUUAAGAAGUUAAAAAUUAAAAGAUAUCAGGAGACACCUGAUAUCGAGAGAGACCCACAGGUCCCCACAGGGCAGAGGGAGCAGGUCACUGGAGGUGGCAGCACCCAGAAAGCGAGACAAGUUUCUUAAUUACAGCAGACAACUCCUUAGCCUUUAGCAAGGCUUUAAUUAGAGUUUAACCUGGCCCCAUCCAACAGAAAGCUGGUCCCUGCAACAUCUCAUUACCAAGCAGCUGGAGAGCUCUUGUAGCACACUCAUGUAUCAUGUUUAAUUAGGAGAAUUAGGGACAUUAUAGAAUGUCGAUUUUUACAUUACCAGGAUUAUUCAGCAGCUUCCCCUCGUCUUCUGACAACUCUUUUAUGCCUAAUUUGAAGCAGGAGGGAUAUAUUUCAUUAGCUGGCUUUAGGCACUACACUGGAAUGAAAAGGGGGAGCUUCAAGGCGGAGGCUUGAAUGGAAACUAAAAUAUUGAUGGCUUUUAAAGCCUCGUAUAAGCAAAUGUAGAGGCGGCAGCUGAAAGCAGCACAUGCUGUCUCUGAGGGAUCCAGCCAACAGUUCUCCACCACAAAACCCAAACCAGGGGAGUGAGGCCACAAACAGGAACUCAGUGACACAGGACAGGGUCUGCAGCGCUUCCUGCCACGAGCUGAUGGAGCUCAGAGGGUGCAAGGGGCUUCAAACCUUUAGGUGACUUCCAAACUGCUUAUCCAAGGCAUGGGAAACCUGACAAACUCCCUUAGAUUAAUCCCUCUCUCCUUCCCCUGCCUGCUUGACAGGAAUAAAUGUGAAUUGGUCCUUUCAGAACUGCUCUGAAGGCUUCAAAAAGCAUCCAAGGUGCUGAUGUUCCCAUCCAGCAAAGCAUACUCAGGAUUCCAUAUUCCAUCCUCUGCUGCUGGUGAAGCUCAGGCUGUUUGCAACCCUGCACGAUGGAAACUUGUCCAAGAAAGGGAGGUGAGGAGAGUACAGGAAACACCUGAACCCAGGUUUGACGGCACUGUGGGCACCACCAGGUAUGAAACAUUGCCAGGAGAUAUGGCAGGGUUGAGGGGCAGCCUGUGUCCUGAAGGGAUGGGCAACAGCUAGACAGGGUGACUGCUGGCACCAGAAGCAUUACACAGUCCUGUGCAAGCAUCUCAAUCCCAAAUUAAGUGCCAAACUUGGAGCCUGGUUCCUCUAAAUGCAUGAGGGACACCAUAAUCUCUCCUCAAAGCAGAGGACCCACCACAGCUGACCUUCCUCCCAGUGCCAGGAGAGCUUGGACAGCUCUGCAAAGACACAACCAGCCUGAGGGAGGCUCAAAUCCACGAUCCUGGCUUUUCCACAUCACCAGAUCCAGGACUGCAGCCUCAGGGAAGUUGUCACAAGAGGUUCUUCUCCAUCCUUCCCAGAUGGUGGGUCAGAUGGGAGGUACCUGAGGGCAAGAUGGUCUGAGCACCCAUCUCAGAGAACAGAGGCAAGAAGGACUGCAGGGCUGCAGCCACCCAGCAACACCCUCCCCAGGGCUGCUUCUCCAGUCACAUCCCGCAAAGCUGUCUCCCUCUAAAUUAAAAAUUUAAGCCACGCUGAUUAAAUAAAGCAGUUCUGCAUACA